rnacentral:rRNA from 1 species
GGUUAAGCGACUAAGCGUACACGGUGGAUGCCCUGGCAGUCAGAGGCGAUGAAGGACGUGCUAAUCUGCGAUAAGCGUCGGUAAGGUGAUAUGAACCGUUAUAACCGGCGAUUUCCGAAUGGGGAAACCCAGUGUGAUUCGUCACACUAUCAUUAACUGAAUCCAUAGGUUAAUGAGGCGAACCGGGGGAACUGAAACAUCUAAGUACCCCGAGGAAAAGAAAUCAACCGAGAUUCCCCCAGUAGCGGCGAGCGAACGGGGAGCAGCCCAGAGCCUGAAUCAGUGUGUGUGUUAGUGGAAGCGUCUGGAAAGGCGUGCGAUACAGGGUGACAGCCCCGUACACAAAAAUGCACAUGCUGUGAGCUCGAUGAGUAGGGCGGGACACGUGGUAUCCUGUCUGAAUAUGGGGGGA